UGGGGAAUAUUGGACAAUGGGGGCAACCCUGAUCCAGCAAUGCCGCGUGAGUGAAGAAGGCCUUCGGGUUGUAAAGCUCUUUUGUCAGGGAAGAAACGGCUGGGGCUAAUAUCCUCGGCUAAUGACGGUAGCUGAAGAAUAAGCCCCGGCUAACUUCGUUCCAGCAGCCGCGGUAAGACGAAGGGGGCUAGCGUUGUUCGGAAUUACUGGGCGUAAAGCGCGUGUAGGCGGUUGUCCAAGUCGGGUGUGAAAGCCUUGAGCUCAACUCAAGAAAUGCACUCGAUACUGGGCGACUAGAGUGCCGGAGAGGAUAGUGGAAUUCCCAGUGUAGUGGUGAAAUACGUAGAGAUUGGGAAGAACACCAGUGGCGAAGGCGGCUAUCUGGACGGUUACUGACGCUAAGACGCGAAAGCGUGGGGAGCAAAC
rnacentral:rRNA from 1 species